GAACCUUGGGGCAUUCUAUACAUGCAGUCGUACGCUUCUUUUUCCCCGGAGCUUGCUCCACCGGAAAAAGAAGAGUGGCGAACGGGUGAGUAACACGUGGGUAACCUGCCCAUCCAAAGGGGAUAACACUUGGAAACAGGUGCUAAUACCGUAUAACAAUCGAAACCGCAUGGUUUUGAUUUGAAAAGCGCUUUCUGGUGUCGCUGAUGGAUGAACCCGCGGCGCAUUAUCUAUUUGGUGAGGUAACGGCUCACCAGGGCAACAAUGCAUAGCCGACCUGAAAGGGUGAUCGGCCACAUUGGAACUGAGACACGGAC
rnacentral:rRNA from 1 species